GACGAACGCUGGCGGCGUGCUUAUCACAUGCAAGUCGAACGGAAAGGCCCUGCUUUUGUGGGGUGCUCGAGUGGCGAACGGGUGAGUAACACGUGAGUAACCUGCCCUUGACUUUGGGAUAACUUCAGGAAACUGGGGCUAAUACCGGAUAGGAGCUCCUGCUGCAUGGUGGGGGUUGGAAAGUUUCGGCGGUUGGGGAUGGACUCGCGGCUUAUCAGCUUGUUGGUGGGGUAGUGGCUUACCAAGGCUUUGACGGGUAGCCGGCCUGAGAGGGUGACCGGCCACAUUGGGACUGAGAUACGGCCCAGACUCCUACGGGAGGCAGCAGUGGGGAAUAUUGCACAAUGGGCGGAAGCCUGAUGCAGCAACGCCGCGUGCGGGAUGACGGCCUUCGGGUUGUAGACCGCUUUCGCCUGUGACGAAGCGUGAGUGACGGUAAUGGGUAAAGAAGCACCGGCUAACUACGUG
rnacentral:rRNA from 1 species